UGAACGCUGGCGGCGUGCCUACUACAUGCACAUCGAGCGAACAGACGAGGAGCUUGCUCCUCCGACGUUAGCGGCGGACGGGUGAGUAACACGUGGAUAACCUACCUAUAAGACUGGGAUAACUUCGGGAAACCGGAGCUAAUACCGGAUAAUAUAUUGAACCGCAUGGUUCAAUAGUGAAAGACGGUUUUGCUGUCACUUAUAGAUGGAUCCGCGCCGCAUUAGCUAGUUGGUAAGGUAACGGCUUACCAAGGCAACGAUGCGUAGCCGACCUGAGAGGGUGAUCGGCCACACUGGAACUGAGACACGGUCCAGACUCCUACGGGAGGCAGCAGUAGGGAAUCUUCCGCAAUGGGCGAAAGCCUGACGGAGCAACGCCGCGUGAGUGAUGAAGGUCUUCGGAUCGUAAAACUCUGUUAUUAGGGAAGAACAAAUGUGUAAGUAACUAUGCACGUCUUGACGGUACCUAAUCAGAAAGCCACGGCUAACUACGUG
rnacentral:rRNA from 1 species